CCUACGGGAGGCAGCAGUGGGGAAUAUUGGGCAAUGGGCGCAAGCCUGACCCAGCAACGCCGCGUGCAGGAAGAAGGCUUUCGGGUUGUAAACUUCUUUUGACAGGGAAGAGUAGAAGACGGUACCUGUCGAAUAAGCCACGGCUAACUACGUGCCAGCAGCCGCGGUAAUACGUAGGUGGCAAGCGUUGUCCGGAUUUACUGGGUGUAAAGGGCGUGUAGCCGGGUUGACAAGUCAGAUGUGAAAUCCUGCGGCUUAACCGCAGAACUGCAUUUGAAACUGUUGAUCUUGAGUACUGGAGAGGCAGACGGAAUUCCUAGUGUAGCGGUGAAAUGCGUAGAUAUUAGGAGGAACACCAGUGGCGAAGGCAGUCUGCUGGACAGCAACUGACGGUGAGGCGCGAAAGCGUGGGGAGCAAACAGGAUUAGAUACCCUAGUAGUC
rnacentral:rRNA from 1 species